GCUCCAGUGGCGCAAUCGGUCAGCGCGCGGUACUUAUAAGACAGUAUUCAGCCGAGUAAUGCCGAGGUUGUGAGUUCGAUCCUCACCUGGAGCA
rnacentral:tRNA from 1 species